AGCUGCGAGGAAGGCGGGGAUGACGUCAAAUCAGCACGGCCCUUACGUCCGGGGCGACACACGUGUUACAAUGGCCGGUACAGAGGGCAGCUACCUGGUGACAGGAUGCGAAUCUCCAAAGCCGGUCUCAGUUCGGAUCGGAGUCUGCAACUCGACUCCGUGAAGCUGGAUUCGCUAGUAAUCGCGCAUCAGCCACGGCGCGGUGAAUACGUUCCCGGGCCUUGUACACACCGCCCGUCAAGCCAUGGGAGCCGGAAAGACCUGAAGUCCGUAACCGCAAGGAGCGGCCUAGGGUAGAGCUGGUGACUGGGGCUAAGUCGUAACAAGGUAACCAAGGGC
rnacentral:rRNA from 1 species